rnacentral:rRNA from 1 species
UUGGAAUGGAGUGCUUGCACUUCGCUGACGAGCGGCGGACGGGUGCGUAACACGUAGGAAUCUGCCCGGUAGUGGGGGAUAGCCCGGAGAAAUUCGGAUUAAUACCGCAUACGCCCUAAGGGGGAAAGCAGGGGAUCGGUUCGCCGACCUUGCGCUAUCGGAUGAGCCUGCGUCGGAUUAGCUAGUUGGUGGGGUAAAGGCCCACCAAGGCGACGAUCCGUAGCUGGUCUGAGAGGAUGAUCAGCCACACUGGGACUGAGACACGGCCCAGACUCCUACGGGAGGCAGCAGUGGGGAAUAUUGCACAAUGGGCGAAAGCCUGAUGCAGCCAUGCCGCGUGUGUGAAGAAGGCCCUAGGGUUGUAAAGCACUUUCAGUGGGGAGGAAAGGUUGAAGGUUAAUACCCUUUAGCUGUGACGUUACCCACAGAAGAAGCACCGGCUAACUCCGUGCCAGCAGCCGCGGUAAUACGGAGGGUGCGAGCGUUAAUCGGAAUUACUGGGCGUAAAGCGUGCGUAGGCGGCUUUUUAAGUUGGAUGUGAAAGCCCCGGGCUUAACCUGGGAACUGCAUCCAAAACUGGAAGGCUUGAGUGCGAGAGAGGAGUGUGGAAUUUCCUGUGUAGCGGUGAAAUGCGUAGAUAUAGGAAGGAA